rnacentral:rRNA from 1 species
ACGAACGCUGGCGGCGUGCUUAACACAUGCAAGUCGCACGGAAAGGCCCUGCUUUUGUGGGGUGCUCGAGUGGCGAACGGGUGAGUAACACGUGAGUAACCUGCCCUUGACUUUGGGAUAACUUCAGGAAACUGGGGCUAAUACCGGAUAGGAGCUCCUGCUGCAUGGUGGGGGUUGGAAAGUUUCGGCGGCUGGGGAUGGACUCGCGGCUUAUCAGCUUGUUGGUGGGGUAGUGGCUUACCAAGGCUUUGACGGGUAGCCGGCCUGAGAGGGUGACCGGCCACAUUGGGACUGAGAUACGGCCCAGACUCCUACGGGAGGCAGCAGUGGGGAAUAUUGCACAAUGGGCGGAAGCCUGAUGCAGCAACGCCGCGUGCGGGAUGACGGCCUUCGGGUUGUAAACCGCUUUCGCCUGUGACGAAGCGUGAGUGACGGUAAUGGGUAAAGAAGCACCGGCUAACUACGUG